AUGUACCUAUUUGCACAUGGAUAACUAUUCUUCGUGACGAUAUCCGGGAACGGAGAUCGGUUUUUAAAACGCUUGAAAGAUUCAGAUGAAUGAUGCAAAUUUGAAGACGCCGGUAGCCAACUGACAACAACUUGAACAAGUACUUGUUUCUGUUUUUUUAACGAGACAAACACAAUCAAGGAGCUAUGAACGCAUAGAUACUCGCGGAAAUAAUACAGCAGUACAUUGUAUUACAACAAAUGGACAGAGGAGUUGACUAUUGAUAGUGACUGAUAAUGGACUGGAGUAACCUAGCGUCCAAUGACUCUGAACAUGCCUGACAGUACUGGCAUGUGUACAUGUAUGUCGACAGCCAAUUCUAAGUAACCUUAAACGUAUACAUUGUAUAUACAAAAGACCUACAAUAAUGAACUAGCUCCUCAGAAAUCAGUGGAAUGGAAGUAAUACACCUCAUAUGUUUCAAUGAAAUUAACAUGAUUAAUGAUGGCAGAAGACGUAGAGGAGAUCCUAUAGCUACAGUACAUGUACAUUUAACUGGUAUG